GAACAACGACUCAUAAACGAUCCCUCCCUUUUCUUAUAUCUCCACCCCAAACCCUAACCCUCAUUUCCCAAAUCCUCCAUCUGUACUUCCUUCCUCUAAUGAACCCUAAUGCUAUCGCCUCAUUUAAAUCCCCCUAAAUCUCGUUCCUAAUGGGAUUCUUUCCCCACUCACUUACCUUUUCGGUGUUUUUCCUUUAUUUGAUGUUAUCUAAAGAAUAACAUAAGUACUUGCCUAAACAUGGCAAGUACCCAACUUUGAUUCUUUCCUAAUCGAUUUUCACCUCUUGAAUCUGGACGACCUUAAGUCCAAAUGCGUUAUUUUUUACCGUGUGAGCCUGAUUUGCUCGCAUCUGGCUGAUUCAUACUUAACCCUAAAGGUUAAUGUUUCAAAUUCUCUUUUGAUUUGAACCUAAACUGGUUCAAGUUUUUAUUUUGAGUAUUAUUUCUUCUAUAUUCACUCUAUUGUGUGUGAAUCUGCCUAUUUCUAUUGAUUUCCUUUACUUUCCCUAAAAAUAGGGUUUCAGAUCUUCUCUAACUGAACAAAAUCUGGGUCAAUACAGUGUUUCUUUUUGAAUAAUAUCCUAUCUAUGUACGUUUUAUUCAAAUAUAUGAUUCUUUGCCUUUACGUUCUACUGAUUUUGCGAUUUACCUAACUUUUGGGUUUCAGACCCUUUUACUUGAACAAAAUGUGAUUCUAUUAUGUGCUUUUUGUGAAUAAUUUCUCGACUAUGUUCAUCGUAUGCAUUAUGUGAUUCUUUGCCUUAUUUUCUGCCAAUCUCAUGUACUUUUACCUAAAAUUUAGGGUUUCAAUUUUACUAAUUCAACCACUUCCUUUUUGGCAUUUGAACCAACUAUUUUCCAUGUUUAUAUUCUAAUUUCUACACUAUUUAAACCCCUUCCCACUCCUCUUUGAAGUGUCUUAAGUUCUAAGUUCAAAAUCUAUUGACCACUAUAAACUAAAGCGUGUACUUCUACUCUAUUGAAUAAUCUUACUCUGUGUUUUGAUUAUUGGAUAACUGAAAGCCAAGGAUAGAAAUCUCCAAGUUCUUGCUUCUGCUUGGUGAUAUUUACUACAUUUUUGGAUUCUUUUCUUCCCUCUUUCAUCCUAACUGGUGAAUCAUUACACCCUCUACCAAUUCAUUAUGAUUAUUUACUCAAUGUGUUACUACAAUUAGACUAUGUUAUCUUAAAUGUUAUUACUUGUUGUUUGAGACAUGUUUGAACCUUAACCCAAUAUUAUUGAUAACUAUCUCUCGAUGUUAAGUUAUGAACCUGCUUAUAAGUAUGCCCUUAUACCUUUUUUGUGGAUUGAUUAACUAGGUAUAGAUGUCUUCCUUAAUAGUAUAACAACUUUGCUUGGAGUACAUUGUAAUGUUGCCUAUUUAACGCUAUACUUACUGUGUUAUGACACCUCUAGCAAUUGCCUUAAUCAGUUUUAAUGUUAAUGUGCCCUGACCUAUUGCUGAUUAAUGUGAUUCCUUCCUAUGACACUAACUCCUGUAUUUAGUUUGAUUUAGACUCUCCGUUAUCAUUAUGAAUUUGCAUAUGAACUAUUCUUACUAGCAUGUAACUGUGUUUAGUUCCUAAAACUUGAUUAAGUAUGCUUAGGUUCAGAAAUGUCUAGUACUUGUUUGUAUAUGUUCAAUAUGUGAUUUUGUCUUUAAGUGGAUUGCCUAACCCAUUCUACUCCCUCAUAUUCUUUUACUAUCUAAUCGUUUUGAAUCUUCAAUCUUAGCCACCAGAAAUCCAAGGCUAUUUAGGUCAUGUCCGUUGACCUCCCUAGUGUGAGCACUGCUCAAGGUCCAUGUGAGACCCUUGUGAACUCUGACACACUAGGAUUUGGUCCCUAGUCUUUUCUUUAACCGUUUCUUAUCAAUCUCUCUAAUGUGAGCACUGCUCUGGGUUCUUGAAGCCCUUGGGAACUUUGACACACUAGGGAUUCAUGUUCUGAUAUAUGGGUGAAUCUCUCAACAACUGGUUAUGUUGUAUCUAUGAACAUGGAUUUUGGAGCUAUUUUGAGUUGAAGGCCUGACAUGCCAAGGUGUAUUCGGGACUACUAUAGACUCCCUAUAGUUAUACCUACUUUGUAAUUUAUUACAUUAAAUUCUGGUAUGUAAUAAUUAUUGUGUAAUAAUAAUUCUGGGGUGUUAGUGAAAUUAAGCAGGGUUUCUUAUUUUACAUUUUUGCAAUAAAAGUUGGGUAAAAAUCCUGCCUAUAGGUCCAACAAUGUGUUAUUAUAUGUAAUGUCUUAAAAUCCUGCCUAUAAGUCCAAUAGUGUGCUAUUAUAUGUAAUGUGUUAGAAAUCAUUCCUAUAGGUCCCUUAUUAUGUUUAAUUAUCCUAUACGGGCAGCCAUGCCUAUAGACUUAAUGAUUGGUUCUGUUAUGUUCUGCUUUACUAGAAACCAUGCCUAUUGGAAAUAGUGUGAUCCAAUGUGUGCAAAAUGUCGGUUUACAUACUGUUCUGUUCAAAUUAUAGAAAUCAUGCCUAUAAGAUCUAAAUUUGGAUCAAAUUAUGGAAUGCACGUCUGAAUCUGUUUAAUCGUUAUUUCUGCCCGCUUACUCAUGAGUUCCAAACAUUAUGCUACUGCUUCCAUUAGAAAACAUGCCUAUAGGGUUAAAACCAAUAAUCUAGAUAUGUUUAUGUGACCUCCCACUACUUACUAUCGUAUAAAACACCUAGAUACCAUGCUAGUAGGAUUAAUCGUAUUAUGCUAAAAUCCAUUGGCAAACUAUUGUAGAUUCUAAUAAUUGCAUUAAUAAGCUUGUUUAGUACAUGACUACCUGCUCGCUCAACAUCACAUAGAUAUCCUACCUAUAGAAUCCGACAACUGAUAAAAUCUAUCAAUGUUAACCAGGUUGGCGUGCAUUUGAUGUCUAAAUGUGGAGGCUGACUUGAGCCCAUAUUUGUUACUAUUUCAAAGUCCUAACAUUGUAUGUCGCUUAGUGUUUUACCUUUGUAGAAGCCUAAGUUAAAGUGUAG
rnacentral:lncRNA from 1 species